AACGAACGCUGGCGGCAUGCCUAACACAUGCAAGUCGAACGAGACCUUCGGGUCUAGUGGCGCACGGGUGCGUAACGCGUGGGAACCUGCCCUUAGGUUCGGAAUAACUCCCCGAAAGGGGUGCUAAUACCGGAUAAUGUCUUCGGACCAAAGAUUUAUCGCCUUUGGAUGGGCCCGCGUUGGAUUGGCUAGUUGGUAGGGUAAAAGCCUACCAAGGCGACGAUCCAUAGCUGGUCUGAGAGGAUGAUCAGCCACACUGGGACUGAGACACGGCCCAGACUCCUACGGGAGGCAGCAGUGGGGAAUAUUGGACAAUGGGCGAAAGCCUGAUCCAGCAAUGCCGCGUGAGUGAUGAAGGCCUUAGGGUUGUAAAGCUCUUUUACCCGGGAUGAUAAUGACAGUACCGGGAGAAUAAGCUCCGGCUAACUCCGUG
rnacentral:rRNA from 1 species